AUGCCUCUCGUGCUCCUCUCCUGCAACUCUCCUGCUCCUGUUCCUCUCCUGUUCUUGCUCCUCUCCUGCUCCUCUCCAGCUCCUGCUCCUCUCCUUCUCUUGUUCAUCUCUUCCUCCACAACUGGUCCUCUCCUGCUCCUCUCGUGCUCCUGCUCUUCCUUCUCUCAUGCUCCUGCUCCCCUCCUGCUACUCUCCUACCCCUGCUCCUCUCCUUCUCCUGUUCCUCUCCUUCUCCUCUCCUGCUUCUCUCCUGUUCCUGCACCUGCACUUCUCCUGCACCUGCUCCUGCUUCGGCUCCUGCACCUCUCCCACUCCUGCUCCUCUCCCGCUUCUGUCCUGUUUCUUCUCCUGCUCCUUCUCCUCUCCUGCUCUUGGUGUUCUCCAGCUCUUCUGCUCUUGCUCCUCUCCUGCUCUUGCUCCUCCUCCUGCUCCUCUCCUCCUCCUGCUCCUUUCAUGGUCCUCUCCUGCACAUUUCCUGCUCCUGCUUUUUUUCUGCUCCUGCUCCACUCCUGCUCCUGCUUCUGCUCCUCACCUACUCCUGCUCCUCUCCAGCUCCAGCUCCUGGUACUACUCCCCUCCUGCACCUCCCCUACUCCUUUCCUGCUCCUGCUCAUUCUCCUGCUCCUCUCUGGCUCAUGCACUAAGCCUGCUUCUGCUCCUUUCUUCUUCAUUCAACUAAUCCUUGCCUGCUCAUGCUCCUUCUUGUCUCCUGCUCCUGCUCCUCUCCUACUCUUGUUCCUCUCAUGCUCCUCCCCUGUAACUUUUCUGCUCCUGCUCCUCUCCUACUCUUGCUCCACUCCUGCUCCUACUCCUCACCUGCUCCUGCUCCUCUCCUGCUCUGGCUCAUGCACUACUCUUGCUCCUCCUCCUCACUUGUUCAUGCAACUGCUCAUUGCCUGCUCAUGCUCCACUCCUGAACCUCUCCUGUCCCUGCUCCUACUCCACUCCUGCUCUUGCUCCUCUCCUGAUCUUGCUCCUGCUCUCUCCUGUUCCUGCUCCACUCCUGCCCCUUCUCUCCUUCCCUUGCUCCUCUCCUUCUUCUGCUCCUGCUCGUCUCCUGCUCCUGCUCUUGCUCUUGCUAUUCUCGUGCUCUUCUUCUGCUCCUCUCCUGUUCUUGCUUCUUUUUUGCUUCUCUCCUGCUCCUGA
rnacentral:lncRNA from 1 species